rnacentral:rRNA from 1 species
UAGGGAAUCUUCCACAAUGGACGCAAGUCUGAUGGAGCAACGCCGCGUGAGUGAAGAAGGUCUUCGGAUCGUAAAGCUCUGUUGUUGGUGAAGAAGGAUAGAGGCAGUAACUGGUCUUUAUUUGACGGUAAUCAACCAGAAAGUCACGGCUAACUACGUGCCAGCAGCCGCGGUAAUACGUAGGUGGCAAGCGUUGUCCGGAUUUAUUGGGCGUAAAGCGAGCGCAGGCGGAAUGAUAAGUCUGAUGUGAAAGCCCACGGCUCAACCGUGGAACUGCAUCGGAAACUGUCAUUCUUGAGUGCAGAAUAGGAGAGUGGAACUCCAUGUGUAGCGGUGGAAUGCGUAGAUAUAUGGAAGAACACCAGUGGCGAAGGCGGCUCUCUGGUCUGCAACUGACGCUGAGGCUCGAAAGCAUGGGUAGCGAACAGGAUUAGAUACCCUGG